rnacentral:rRNA from 1 species
UUCUUGGAGAGUUUGAUCCUGGCUCAGGACGAACGCUGGCGGCGUGCCUAAUACAUGCAAGUCGAGCGAAUCUUUAGGAGCUUGCUCCUGAAGAUUAGCGGCGGACGGGUGA